rnacentral:rRNA from 1 species
AGAGUUUGAUCCUGGCUCAGGACGAACGCUGGCGGCGUGCCUAAUACAUGCAAGUAGAACGCUGAAGAGAGGAGCUUGCUCUUCUUGGAAGAGUUGCGAACGGGUGAGUAACGCGUAGGUAACCUGCCUUGUAGCGGGGGAUAACUAUUGGAAACGAUAGCUAAUACCGCAUAACAAUGGAUGACACAUGUCAUUUAUUUGAAAGGGGCAACUGCUCCACUACAAGAUGGACCUGCGUUGUAUUAGCUAGUAGGUGAGGUAACGGCUCACCUAGGCGACGAUACAUAGCCGACCUGAGAGGGUGAUCGGCCACACUGGGACUGAGACACGGCCCAGACUCCUACGGGAGGCAGCAGUAGGGAAUCUUCGGCAAUGGGGGCAACCCUGACCGAGCAACGCCGCGUGAGUGAAGAAGGUUUUCGGAUCGUAAAGCUCUGUUGUAAGUCAAGAACGAGUGUGAGAGUGGAAAGUUCACACUGUGACGGUAGCUUACC